rnacentral:rRNA from 1 species
UACGUAGGGGGCAAGCGUUGUCCGGAAUCAUUGGGCGUAAAGCGCGUGUAGGCGGCUGAGUAAGUCUGCUCUGAAAGCCCGGGGCUCAACCCCGGGAGGCGGGUGGAUACUGCUCAGCUCGAGUCCGGAAGAGGAGUGUGGAAUUCCUGGUGUAGCGGUGAAAUGCGCAGAUAUCAGGAAGAACACCCGUGGCGAAGGCGGCUCUCUGGGACGUGACUGACGCUGAGACGCGAAAGCGUGGGGAGCGAACAGG